ensembl:lncRNA
AGAGUACUUCCAUUUCGUCCACUUGUCUUUUGUGCUAAGUAAAAUGUGUCAUACAUUUUAUUUCAACAUGUAUUACAAGUCCUACAGUAAAAAUGUUGCUGUUUUUGGCUUUAAUUACCUUUCAAAGAGAUUUUUUCUAAUGAGGAAAAAUGUCUUUUAUAUUUAUCCAUACACUUAUUUUUAAAAAAUUAGGUACUUUGUUUUGUUUUAAUUGUUCCGAAGUAAAUGAGAAGGACCCGGAAGAAUUAGAUGCAGGACAGGAAAGGAAUGAUCUAUGAGGCUCCAUAGCAGCUGUAAAGGGAUGGGCCUUGGCAUGGAUGGGUGGCUUCUCUGUUUUAAUAGGAGGGCAAUGAAGAGAGAAUGCACAUAUGAGUAAAUCUGUGUUUGGCAUCAGGGUAAUGAAUUUCAUUUCUCAUGGCUUCCUUUUCUUUCCUUAUAAGUGAGACUGAGGAAGGAAAUAGGGAUCAGAAGAUAAUCCUGCUCGAAACAGUGCACUGACCAGAGAACUGUACCAGGAUUACAGGCUUUCUGAUGGUCCUUGGGUGAUGAUGAAUUUACUGCAGAACCAAUGUACCCUGUUCCGUGUGACUUGCUGUAUGCUUUUGGCAACUUGGAUUCAGAUAAGAAUGGAAUUAAUAAGUAGCUUUAUCAGAGUUGACAUUUUGAUAUUGUGGGAAAUUAAAGGGAAAAAGACUCAGGUAUGGCAGAGUGUUACUGAGUGAUAGGCUUUGGGCUCUAAGCAGAAUGACUAAAGCUCUGUUCCAGAUUUGUAGUUGGAACAAUUGAACAAGCAAAGGAGAAAGUGGAGCUGAGAUGCAGCAGUUACGGGUGAUGAUGAGAAAGGCAGUAUGACCUUGAGGAGCGGAUAGUUCAGGAAGACUGAGAAGGAGAUCUUGGAAAGAUGGAGGAACGGGAAGGCCGAGGUGACCUGGGAUGACGCUGGGCUGGGUGGUGAAGGACACUACCAGCUAGUCUCCCAGGUCUGUGAAGACUGAGGAUCAGCUUGGCAGAUCAGCCCCUGACGGGUAUUUCCUAAUUUGGCUUUCUUUGUUGUUGUUGACUUUUGAUAGGAAGCAGUGGCAGCAGUAUAAACUCUGCUCCUAGUGAUGAUUCUUCAGAAAUCUCUCAAGAUGGGCAGCAAUCUCAGGACGUACAGAAAAAAGAACCAUUUCCUAAGUUAGCUGAAGAGUCCAUCUGGAGAAUGAUAAAGCAGACACCUGGCCGCAUUCUAAUGAUGCAUCAGGGUUAAAGAAAUUGUACUGAAAGAAGACGUAGAGAAGCUGGAAAGCAUGAGAUGGCAGCAGCCACAGUUUUCUCCAGGGCAAAGGGAGGAGAUAGCCAACGUGCAUUCUUGGAUUCAGCGCCAGACGAUCCCUCAGGAAAUAGAUACCCAGGGCUGUGUCACCUGUGGACACAGAGACUCAGCUGGUGAUACUGUAGACACCAUGGUCCGGAUCCAACAGAAGCAGCAGCCGAGUGACUCUGAAGAAGGACCUGCACUGCCUCUCCAGACCUGUUGGGCUGCUCCUCCUCCCUGUGAUUCUCUGUGAACCCUUGCAGCUUAAGGGACCAAGAAGCUGUCAUUGAAUGUUAAGGCUUUCCCUUCUUGAUUUUUUAGCAGACAUCUUUUUCCUGAAGCAGACAUUGUAUAUAGACUCUUUCACUCCUCCUUUUUCCCAAUGUAUCUAAACUGGCGAAUAGACUCUUCUAGUUUAUUAGCUGUCCUCUAAUGAGACUGGAUGGCCUCUAAAAAGGAGGUCUCUCCAUCCCUGCAAGAGGUCUCAUGGCCACUGUCUUCUCUUUGCCCCUAAAUAAAGGUCAGAACCGGGAAUAGAAGAAAAUGAAGACCCCAGUAACCUUUUCUCAUUUAAAUAACAUGCAACAAACUAACUUACUUUUCUGCUUUUGUUGUUGUGUUUUUUAGGAAAAUGCUUCUUCCUUUCUUAUAGCUUUUUAUAAAAUACUAUAAUCACAUGAUCAUAAUCAGGAGAAUCGACCUUUCUAUCCAUGAUACUGAGACUCAAGCCCUCAUAGAUUUACUUUCUAAAGUAGAAGAGUUGGCCCUUGGUAUCUGCAGGGAGUUGGUUAUAGGACCGCCGCAGAUACUAAAAUCUAUGGACACUCAACGUCCCUUCUAUAACAGGAAGGUUCGCCAGCUCUCUGUACCCGUGGGUUCUGCAUCCAGAGUUCUCUACCCUCCCCGAUUCUUCCCACCUCGAUCACAGGGGCUGGCUGUAGUUUCCAGAAGGCACUUCUUUCUUUAACUGUCAGAACCCCUUUGAAAUGAUGACUGUGACUUUUCUAGAAUGUUCUCACUUGCAGCCGUUUCAUGCCCAUAUUCCUAUCUUAGGCUUAGAGAACUCUCGUGUUCUGCUGCAUCUUGAUUGUUAAAUGAUCUCUGAAGCCCUCAUUGCUUUGGUUAAGUUGUGUGAUAUUUUUGCCCUUGGUGAAAAAUCAAAUUUUAAACAGUGAACCAGCCUGGAUAUUGUCAUGGAUAGAAUCACUGCAGCCUUCUGUGCUGAUGACCGUUUUAACUUGUGUAAAUCAGAAAUGACACGGAGCAGUCAGGGGACCAUUCUGCAUGUGUGUAUGCACUUUUUUAGUCCAAGCCCUCUUUCAGAUUUCUUUCUGGAUGUUUGUUUUCUUGACAGUUAACUGUUUCUUUGCCUUACUACACAUUUAGGCUCAAUUUAAAAUUGGUGCUUGUUGUAAGCAGAGCUAUAAAACCAGUUAUAGUUUUGGUGUUUUGGUAAAUAGCUGAGCUGGUAUAUUUAGAAAUGACCAUGAUGCUUCUGCUUCUGGGGAUGAGCAGAGAAGGCUCAACAGUGCCGGCCUCUCCCCACCACAGGGGCUCCACCCAACUGUAAACUGUCAUUCAAGUUUAGUAACUUUUUGUAUUGAUGCCUGUAGAAAUCAGUAAUAAAAAUGUGUACUACAGGUUUCCAUGGUUACAUAAAUGUUACCAAAAGGCUGUGUUUUGUUGGAUAAGAGGUCAGAAUUUAUGAACAACCC